rnacentral:rRNA from 1 species
UGACCUCAGAUCAGGUAGGACUACCCGCUGAACU